rnacentral:misc_RNA from 1 species
AACGUCGGCAGGCGAUCCGCGUCGGUCGCGCUGGGUGGUAUGGUUCCCCAGAGGCCGGUUCUUGUGCUGCCUACCCCUUCAGGGGAAGAGUUCCAAACUCGAUGUAAGCCUCCAUCCGGCGCCCCCCAAAGGGCGCGGGAGGACAACGGAGCACCCCCCGCGUUCCACCGAGCCGCCUCGGUCGCGUGGCCCGCGGGGACGUGCGAUGCUCUAGGACCCAGCGAACGCCGUGGGCGAGGACUCACGUCCCGGUCCCAAGUGAAGCAACGGUAUAACGCCGACGGCCGCUCCCGCCCCCCGACCGCCCCGGCGGCGCGGGGCGAAGGCGCGGCGUCGCUGAGGAAUGCUACCU